rnacentral:rRNA from 1 species
CGCAUCUGUGCAUGCAGCAUAUCAAUAAGCGGAGGAAAAGAAACUAACGAGGAUUCCCCUAGUAACGGCGAGUGAAGCGGGAAGAGCUCAAAUUUGAAAUCUUAAAGGGUUUCCCUUUACGAAUUGUAGUUUAAAGAAGUGUUUUCUGUUGAGGUUUUGGUAAAAGUUCUUUGGAAUAGGACAUCAUAGAGGGUGAGAAUCCCGUAUUUGACCUUUACCUUCACCUUUGUGAUACACUUUCAAAGAGUCGGAUUGUUUGGGAAUGCAGUCCAAAAUGGGUGGUAAAUUUCAUCUAAAGCUAAAUAUUGGCGAGAGACCGAUAGCGAACAAGUACCGUGAGGGAAAGAUGAAAAGAACUUUGAAAAGAGAGUUAAACAGUACGUGAAAUUGUCAAAAGGGAAGCGUUUGACACCAGUGUUGUUUUUCUGAAAAUCAAUUAAAGAACUGUUUAUGCUAAGUUGUUUAGACUUUAUCAGCUAACUGUUUAGUUUUGAGCUUUUCUUUAAUGCACUUUUCAGUUAACAAGUCAACAUCAAUUUCUUUUGCUGUAAAAAAGCUUGAGGAAGGUGGCUUGAGAUUCGUCUUAAGUGUUUAUAGCCUCUUGCCUAUGCAGUCGGAGAGAUUGAGGUCUGCAGCGUAGAUCCUUCGGGGCUAAAUGCAUUUGUGCUAAGUUAUAGCAUUUUAUAGACAGCUUGUUGACUAUGAUUUGUCUUGUAGCUUACUCGCUUAUGUUAUUUUACCUACGCUUAGGAUGUUGAACGCGCACAGAGUCUC